CCCCUUUCAGGGUCACACCUGGAGAGUUUCCAGUACUCUACCAGUCUUGACUAUGGGAGGGUCAAGCAGAAGCAUAUCCAUUCCAUUCCUAGCUUGGGCAGUGGCUAGUGUAUGGAAGGCAAUCUGCUACAAGU
rnacentral:snoRNA from 1 species